rnacentral:rRNA from 1 species
GACGAACGCUGGCGGCGUGCCUAAUACAUGCAAGUCGAACGCAGUGGGGACGGGUGAGUAACACUUGGUUAACCUCCCAUCAGAGGGGAUAACACUUUGAAACAGGUGCUAAACCGAUACUGUUGGCUUGACCCGCGGUGCAUUAGCUAGGUGGUGGGGUAACGGCUCACCAAGGCCCCGAUGGAUAGCCGACCUGGGAGAGUGAUCGGCCACACUGGAACUGAGACAGGGCCCAGACUCCUGCGGGAGGCAGCAGUAGGGAAUGUUCGGCAAUGGACGAAAGUCUGACCGAGCAACGCCGCGUGAGUGAAGAAGGUGUUCGGAUCGUAAAACUCUGUUGUUAGAGAAGCGGUAGCUAAACAGAAAGCCACGGCUAACUACGUGCCAGCAGCCGCGGUAAUAC